AGACCCGAAACCCGGUGAUCUAGCCAUGGGCAGGUUGAAGGUUGGGUAACACUAACUGGAGGACCGAACCGACUAAUGUUGAAAAAUUAGCGGAUGACCUGUGGCUGGGGGUGAAAGGCCAAUCAAACCGGGAGAUAGCUGGUUCUCCCCGAAAGCUAUUUAGGUAGCGCCUCGUGAAUUCAUCUCCGGGGGUAGAGCACUGUUUCGGCUAGGGGGCCAUCCCGGCUUACCAACCCGAUGCAAACUGCGAAUACCGGAGAAUGUUAUCACGGGAGACACACGGCGGGUGCUAACGUCCGUCGUGAAGAGGGAAACAACCCAGACCGCCAGCUAAGGUCCCAAAGUCAUGGUUAAGUGGGAAACGAUGUGGGAAGGCCCAGACAGCCAGGAUGUUGGCUUAGAAGCAGCCAUCAUUUAAAGAAAGCGUAAUAGCUCACUGGUCGAGUCGGCCUGCGCGGAAGAUGUAACGGGGCUAAACCAUGCACCGAAGCUGCGGCAGCGAACGUAUCACCCAAGACAACUUUACGGAGUUGACGAUUGACGGAGCGAAGCGACGUCAAAGCGUUCAUUAAAGUCGAGUUGGCUUAGGGAUACGUUCGUUGGGUAGGGGAGCGUUCUGUAAGCCUGUGAAGGUGUGUCGUGAGGCAUGCUGGAGGUAUCAGAAGUGCGAAUGCUGACAUAAGUAACGAUAAAGCGGGUGAAAAGCCCGCUCGCCGGAAGACCAAGGGUUCCUGUCCAACGUUAAUCGGGGCAGGGUGAGUCGACCCCUAAGGCGAGGCCGAAAGGCGUAGUCGAUGGGAAACGGGUUAAUAUUCCCGUACUUGGUGUUACUGCGAAGGGGGGACGGAGAAGGCUAUGUUGGCCGGGCGACGGUUGUCCCGGUUUAAGCGUGUAGGUGUGUGUUCCAGGUAAAUCCGGUUCACUUUAACACUGAGGCGUGACGACGAGGCACUACGGUGCUGAAGCAACAAAUGCCCUGCUUCCAGGAAAAGCCUCUAAGCAUCAGGUAACAUCAAAUCGUACCCCAAACCGACACAGGUGGUCAGGUAGAGAAUACCAAGGCGCUUGAGAGAACUCGGGUGAAGGAACUAGGCAAAAUGGUGCCGUAACUUCGGGAGAAGGCACGCUGACACGUAGGUGAAGUGAUUUACUCAUGGAGCUGAAGUCAGUCGAAGAUACCAGCUGGCUGCAACUGUUUAUUAAAAACACAGCACUGUGCAAACACGAAAGUGGACGUAUACGGUGUGACGCCUGCCCGGUGCCGGAAGGUUAAUUGAUGGGGUCAGCGCAAGCGAAGCUCCUGAUCGAAGCCCCGGUAAACGGCGGCCGUAACUAUAACGGUCCUAAGGUAGCGAAAUUCCUUGUCGGGUAAGUUCCGACCUGCACGAAUGGCGUAAUGAUGGCCAGGCUGUCUCCACCCGAGACUCAGUGAAAUUGAACUCGCUGUGAAGAUGCAGUGUACCCGCGGCAAGACGGAAAGACCCCGUGAACCUUUACUAUAGCUUGACACUGAACAUUGAGCCUUGAUGUGUAGGAUAGGUGGGAGGCUUUGAAGUGUGGACGCCAGUCUGCAUGGAGCCGACCUUGAAAUACCACCCUUUAAUGUUUGAUGUUCUAACGUGGACCCGUAAUCCGGGUUGCGGACAGUGUCUGGUGGGUAGUUUGACUGGGGCGGUCUCCUCCUAAAGAGUAACGGAGGAGCACGAAGGUUGGCUAAUCCUGGUCGGACAUCAGGAGGUUAGUGCAAUGGCAUAAGCCAGCUUGACUGCGAGCGUGACGGCGCGAGCAGGUGCGAAAGCAGGUCAUAGUGAUCCGGUGGUUCUGAAUGGAAGGGCCAUCGCUCAACGGAUAAAAGGUACUCCGGGGAUAACAGGCUGAUACCGCCCAAGAGUUCAUAUCGACGGCGGUGUUUGGCACCUCGAUGUCGGCUCAUCACAUCCUGGGGCUGAAGUAGGUCCCAAGGGUAUGGCUGUUCGCCAUUUAAAGUGGUACGCGAGCUGGGUUUAGAACGUCGUGAGACAGUUCGGUCCCUAUCUGCCGUGGGCGCUGGAGAACUGAGGGGGGCUGCUCCUAGUACGAGAGGACCGGAGUGGACGCAUCACUGGUGUUCGGGUUGUCAUGCCAAUGGCACUGCCCGGUAGCUAAAUGCGGAAGAGAUAAGUGCUGAAAGCAUCUAAGCACGAAACUUGCCCCGAGAUGAGUUCUCCCUG
rnacentral:rRNA from 1 species